rnacentral:rRNA from 1 species
GCCUGCGGCCAUACCACCCUGAAAGCGCCCGAUCUUGUCUGAUCUCGGAAGCUAAGCAGGGACGGGCUUGGUUAGUACCUGGAUGGGAGACCGCCUGGGAAUACCAGGUGUUGUAGGCU